UACGGCGAGUGAAGCGGCAAAAGCUCAAAUUUGAAAUCUGGCACCUUCGGUGUCCGAGUUGUAAUUUGAAGAAGGUAACUUUGGAGUUGGCUCUUGUCUAUGUUCCUUGGAACAGGACGUCACAGAGGGUGAGAAUCCCGUGCGAUGAGAUGCCCAAUUCUAUGUAAAGUGCUUUCGAAGAGUCGAGUUGUUUGGGAAUGCAGCUCUAAGUGGGUGGUAAAUUCCAUCUAAAGCUAAAUAUUGGCGAGAGACCGAUAGCGAACAAGUACAGUGAUGGAAAGAUGAAAAGAACUUUGAAAAGAGAGUGAAAAAGUACGUGAAAUUGUUGAAAGGGAAGGGCUUGAGAUCAGACUUGGUAUUUUGCGAUCCUUUCCUUCUUGGUUGGGUUCCUCGCAGCUUACUGGGCCAGCAUCGGUUUGGAUGGUAGGAUAAUGACUAAGGAAUGUGGCUCUACUUCGGUGGAGUGUUAUAGCCUUGGUUGAUACUGCCUGUCUAGACCGAGGACUGCGUCUUUGACUAGGAUGCUGGCAUAAUGAUCUUAAGCCACCCGUCUUGAA
rnacentral:rRNA from 1 species